rnacentral:snoRNA from 1 species
AACCUUUGCUUUGCUCAUUGACUUUUGGAAACUAGUGAAUGUGGUGUCAAAAGGCGCAAACUACUGCUUCACAGGCUUUUCCUGACCUUAAAUAUGUUAAAAAUUAUCUGUACAACUUGGGGGGGGGUUGACUGAGAGGGAGGGAAAGAG